rnacentral:rRNA from 1 species
GACGAACGCUGGCGGCGUGCUUAACACAUGCAAGUCGGACGGAAAGGCCCUUCGGGGUACUCGAGUGGCGAACGGGUGAGUAACACGUGGGUGAUCUGCCCUGCACUUUGGGAUAAGCCUGGGAAACUGGGUCUAAUACCGAAUAGGACCACGCGCUUCAUGGUGUGUGGUGGAAAGCUUUUGCGGUGUGGGAUGGGCCCGCGGCCUAUCAGCUUGUUGGUGGGGUAAUGGCCUACCAAGGCGACGACGGGUAGCCGGCCUGAGAGGGUGACCGGCCACACUGGGACUGAGAUACGGCCCAGACUCCUACGGGAGGCAGCAGUGGGGAAUAUUGCACAAUGGGCGCAAGCCUGAUGCAGCGACGCCGCGUGAGGGAUGACGGCCUUCGGGUUGUAAACCUCUUUCAAUAGGGACGAAGCGCAAGUGACGGUACCUAUAGAAGAAGCACCGGCCAACUACGUGCCAGCAGCCGCGGUAAUACGUAGGGUGCGAGCGUUGUCCGGAAUUACUGGGCGUAAAGAGCUCGUAGGUGGUUUGUCGCGUUGUUCGUGAAAACUCACAGCUUAACUGUGGGCGUGCGGGCGAUACGGGCAGACUAGAGUACUGCAGGGGAGACUGGAAUUCCUGGUGUAGCGGUGGAAUGCGCAGAUAUCAGGAGGAACACCGGUGGCGAAGGCGGGUCUCUGGGCAGUAACUGACGCUGAGGAGCGAAAGCGUGGGGAGCGAACAGGAUUAGAUACCCUGGUAGUCCACGCCGUAAACGGUGGGUACUAGGUGUGGGUUCCUUCCUUGGGAUCCGUGCCGUAGCUAACGCAUUAAGUACCCCGCCUGGGGAGUACGGCCGCAAGGCUAAAACUCAAAGGAAUUGACGGGGGCCCGCACAAGCGGCGGAGCAUGUGGAUUAAUUCGAUGCAACGCGAAGAACCUUACCUGGGUUUGACAUGCACAGGACGCCGGCAGAGAUGUCGGUUCCCUUGUGGCCUGUGUGCAGGUGGUGCAUGGCUGUCGUCAGCUCGUGUCGUGAGAUGUUGGGUUAAGUCCCGCAACGAGCGCAACCCUUGUCCUAUGUUGCCAGCGGGUUAUGCCGGGGACUCGUAGGAGACUGCCGGGGUCAACUCGGAGGAAGGUGGGGAUGACGUCAAGUCAUCAUGCCCCUUAUGUCCAGGGCUUCACACAUGCUACAAUGGCCGGUACAAAGGGCUGCGAUGCCGUGAGGUGGAGCGAAUCCUUUCAAAGCCGGUCUCAGUUCGGAUCGGGGUCUGCAACUCGACCCCGUGAAGUCGGAGUCGCUAGUAAUCGCAGAUCAGCAACGCUGCGGUGAAUACGUUCCCGGGCCU